rnacentral:rRNA from 1 species
AGGGUUUGAUUCUGGCUCAGGAUGAACGCUAGCGGCAGGCUUAAUACAUGCAAGUCGAGGGGUAACAGAAAGUGCUUGCUCUUUGCUGACGACCGGCGAACGGGUGCGUAACGCGUAUGCAACCUACCUUUCACUGGGGGAUAGCCCAGAGAAAUGUUGAAUAAUACCCCAUACCAUCUUUUAAUGGCAUUAUUUUUAGAAUAAAAUUCCGAUGGUGAAGGAUGGGCAUGCGUGCUAUUAGUUUGUUGGUGAGGUAACUGCUUACCAAGACUACGAUGGGUAGGGGCCCUGAGAGGAGGACCCCCCACACUGGUACUGAGACACGGACCAGACUCCUACGGGAGGCAGCAGUGAGGAAUAUUGGACAAUGGAGGAAACUCUGAUCCAGCCAUGCCGCGUGCAGGAAGACUGCCUUAUGGGUUGUAAACUGCUUUUAUACAGGAAGAAACCUUUGUACGUGUACCUGGUUGACGGUACUGUAAGAAUAAGGAUCGGCUAACUCCGUGCCAGCCGCCGCGGUAAUACA